CGGAAACUGAAGCUCUUGAGUGAGGUAGAGGCAGGCGGAAUUCCCAGUGUAGCGGUGAAAUGCGUAGAUAUUGGGAGGAACACCAGUGGCGAAGGCGGCCUGCUGGGCCUUAACUGACGCUGAGGCUCGAAAGUGUGGGGAGCAAACAGGAUUAGAUACCCUGGUAGUCCACACUGUAAACGAUGAUAACUCGCUGUCGGCGAUAUACAGUCGGUGGCCAAGCGAAAGCGAUAAGUUAUCCACCUGGGGAGUACGACCGCAAGGUUGAAACUCAAAGGAAUUGACGGGGGCCCGCACAAGCGGAGGAACAUGUGGUUUAAUUCGAUGAUACGCGAGGAACCUUACCCGGGCUCGAACGAUGCAUGAAUGUCAGAGAGAUUUGACAGUCCUUCGGGACAUGUAUCGAGGUGCUGCAUGGUUGUCGUCAGCUCGUGCCGUGAGGUGUCGGCUUAAGUGCCAUAACGAGCGCAAC
rnacentral:rRNA from 1 species